AUCCUCAGGUUCAUAAGCGUGAUGAUUGGGUGUUCAUGCUCCAUGUAUGACAUGUGCCUCCUUUGAACCUUAUUACGUCGGCACAUUACCUAUCUGACG
rnacentral:snoRNA from 1 species